rnacentral:rRNA from 1 species
AUGUUAGGUUCUACGCUAUCUAUGCAACCUGUUCUAUUAUCUGCUUUAGACAUGUUUGGUUGCAGUUCAUAUAUGAAGAUGUUAUUUACCUUCUCUCUGUUAGAUCGCAUGACUACUUUUAUCCAUGUUAUAUUAGUCAUGCUUUAUCUAAUAUUUCUAUUAAUAAAAUCAUUUGGUAAAUUGCACAUAUUUCCAACAUGUAGUAGUAGUGAAAUUCGCCGACAAGAUCUAGAUGGAAGUGGCAAUUUGAGUCGCAUUUUGGGCUUGCUCGCCAUGGGGCACUAUUCUUCUCCCCUAGACAGUUACUACUCCCUUCGUUCACUUUUGUAA